UACGUAGGGGGCAAGCGUUGUCCGGAUUUAUUGGGCGUAAAGCGCGUGUAGGCGGCCAGGUAGGUCCGCUGUGAAAACCCGAGGCUCAACCUCGGGACGUCGGCGGAAACCAUCUGGCUAGAGUCCGGAAGAGGAGAGUGGAAUUCCCGGUGUAGCGGUGAAAUGCGCAGAUAUCAGGAAGAACACCAACGGCGAAGGCAGCUCGCUGGGACGGUACUGACGCUGAGACGCGAAAGCGUGGGGAGCGAACAGG
rnacentral:rRNA from 1 species